rnacentral:lncRNA from 1 species
CGCGUGGCCCCGCGGGUUCGCGCCCCACCCAGAGAGUGGCUGUGUGUGCUGGACGCGCCAGUUUUGUGAUGGUGAUGAUGAUGCUCUGCGCACCCUGGGGAUAAACAGCCCGCUUCCCCCUCCCAUUGCCUGGCUGGAGGGGAUUGCGAGGAUGAGCUUUUUAGCUCAGAAGUGACGGGGUGUCCGACGGGAUCGUUCUUUGGCGGGAAGAAACUCAGACUGGGCGUGCCUAGUAGUCAGUGACUGACCUGGAGAAAGAACCCUUGGCCCCUCCCAGCUUCGUUUUUCCCACUUGAAACACAGGAGGACCCAGUGUGGACCAGCCUCUUGGAGGGUGACGAGUCUAUAUAUUAAUACAAACACCGCCCCAGCGCUUUUUCUGGGACCUGCGAGGGCGGCUCACUUGUAGAACAUUCGCUGCCGUCUGUUUUGGCAACGUGGAGCCUCCUGGUUUGGAGGUUUUUUAUCCCAGGAGGGCUGACCUUCCACGAGGGGUGGAGCAGGAGUUCUGCUGUGUUGGGCCGGGAGACCAUCACCUGGAUAGUUGGGCUUCCUGAAGCCACCAAACCGUCAGGAAGCCCAAAGGGACCUUCUCCCGGCUGAAGUGAUGGAGCCGGGAGUACCGAGGGCAAGUUGGGUGAUCGUUGUCCAGUGGAGUGAGGAAGGACUGCGUGGAACUUUCCAAAAACAAGGAAACGAAGAUAGAACUGUGGAAGAAUCAAUUUCUGGACUCCUAAAGAAAGACUCAUCCUUGCAUGAGUGUGUGGCUGACUUGUUAGACAUCUAGUGGUCCGUAGCCCCUGCAAGGUUCAGUGACAUGCAGCACAUUCCCUGGGCAUCCCAGCUGGUUUCCAGGAGAACCUCCCAGGUGUCCCAGCUAGUCAUUUCCUGGCCAUUUCCACAGGCACUGCUCUGGUAGCCUCCCAGUGAUUUGCAUCAGUUUCCCAGCUGAAUGCAGUCGGUAAGCACAAGAUAUAAGAGACAUCUGUAUUUGGUAGAAAGAUAUAAAACUGUAUUCAUAAACCACAUGGUCAUCUAUGUAGAAAACACUAAGGAAGCUACAAAAAAUUUUUACUAGAACUCAUAAGGUAAGGUUAAUGAGGUUGCAGAAUACAAGAUCAAUAUACAGAUUAUAAUUUUAUUCCAUAUGCCAUAAAGGAGAAUGAAAUGGCAACCCACUCCAGUGUUCUUGCCUGGGAAUUGCCAGGGACAGAGGUGCCUGGUGGGUACAGAGUUGGACAUGACUUAGCGACUAAACAAUAGCAACAAAUGCUACAAAAAGGAAUUAGAAACUAGAGUUUAAAAAUCCUUUUGAAAACAUGACAUGUGAAAUGGGGAUACAUUUGACCAACAAAUGUGCAAAGAGAUAUUCCUCUUUCUUUGGACCAGUGAUGCCUGUCCUUCUUAGGGGUACGCCAAGAAACCUGUAACCGUUCUGUUUAUACCAUAGCUUUGAAAGAUGUUGCAUAUCGCCACUGGUUAAAGAUGAAGCUUACUUACAGAUUAUAAAGUGAUAGAUACUCUAAGCCCAGUGUUCUCACUUGAAAUGAAAAUCCACUAGAUGUGCAGCUGGACAUCACUCUCAUGGGAUGUGGAGGCAAGAGAAGCAGAC